GGUUAAGCGACUAAGCGUACACGGUGGAUGCCCUGGCAGUCAGAGGCGAUGAAGGACGUGCUAAUCUGCGAAAAGCGUCGGCGAGGUGAUAUGAACCUUUGACCCGGCGAUGUCCGAAUGGGGAAACCCAGUGUGUUCCGACACACUAUCGUUAACUGAAUACAUAGGUUAACGAGGCGAACCGGGGGAACUGAAACAUCUAAGUACCCCGAGGAAAAGAAAUCAACCGAGAUUCC
rnacentral:rRNA from 1 species